rnacentral:rRNA from 1 species
UACAGAGGGUGCGAGCGUUGUCCGGAAUUAUUGGGCGUAAAGAGCUCGUAGGCGGUCUGUCGCGUCGGAUGUGAAAACUCGGGGCUCAACCCCGGGCCUGCAUUCGAUACGGGCAGACUAGAGUACGGCAGGGGAGACUGGAAUUCCUGGUGUAGCGGUGAAAUGCGCAGAUAUCAGGAGGAACACCGGUGGCGAAGGCGGGUCUCUGGGCCGAAACUGACGCUGAGGAGCGAAAGCGUGGGGAGCAAACAGG